rnacentral:rRNA from 1 species
AACGGGAAGACCCUUACUUAGGCUUGAAAAGCAGUCUAAAGCAGCGAAAGCUGUGUACCCGCAAGGGGGGCUGUACAGGUGCUGCAUGGCGGUCGUCAGCUCGUGUCGUGAGAUGUUGGGUUAAGUCCCGCAACGAGCGCAACCCUUGUCUUUAGUUGCCAUCAUUAAGUUGGGCACUUUAAGGAGACCGCCGGUGACAAACCGGAGGAAGGUGGGGAUGAAGUCAAGUCAUCAUGGCCCUUAUGACCAGGGGUACACACGUGGUUCAAUGGUAGAUACAGAGGGAAGCCAACUCGCGAGAGGGAGCCAAUCCCAGAAAAUCUAUUGUAGUCCGGAUUGGAGUUUGCAACUUGACUCCAUGAAGUUGGAAUCGCUAGUAAUCGCAGAUCAGCACGCCGCGGUGAAUACGUUCCCGGGUCUUUCACACCAAG